CCCACCAGGAUGACAAUGGACUAAACCUCUGAAACUGUGACCUCAGGUCCUGACAAGUUGACAGUUAAGGAAGUUGAGGAAGAAAGGGCCAAGCUACAAAAGCUUCUAACCAAACUACAAAAGCCAUCUUGGGUCACUUCUCCUGCCUGUGUGCCUUGGAAACAGUACUUUUGACCAUAAUCGUCUCAGGGAACUGCUAAGCCCUUCUUCCAGAAGCAAGAGGAACCAGCAGUGCCCAAGAGCCACCAUGAACAGUGUCACUUUCAAGGAUGACGACCCGGAACCGGGAACGGGAGAGGAACUCAAUAACGGGGCAUGUUUGGCUGAGCGAGCCAGUGAGCAGCUCCCCUCCUCGGCUUCUGCUUCAGCUCCCGCCUCCAGGUUGGACAAGCAACUGUAGCCGGCUUCCCAGGAGUGUGGGCAACCUGGGCGCCCCAGCUUCACUGUGGAAGGAACCCCAUCCAUUCCUUCAGAGGUCCCUCAUGAGAAAGUGAACACUAGCAGUCACCUCCAAAAGGAGAUUUCAGUUCCCAUGAUGUGCGACCCGACAGGAGAAUUUACAGCUCUGAGAAGCGGUACCAGCAGAGCAACCCAGUCAGAUGCUGAAGGGUGUGUUUCUUUGGCUGUCCCUUUUUCCCACGAUGCUGAUGCCAGGGCAGGGCGAGGCACUCUUCGGGAAGAGCCCUACAGGUACCGCCGAGCUGGAAAGACUGACCACAACUCACGAGCCGCCCCAACCCAGCCACAAGGGAAGUGACCUGUCUGGGGUGGACAGCUGCCUAGGGCGGCUUCCCCAUAGGGUCUGGACCAGCAGGCUGCGAUCUGUGUGACUUCCCUGGCCCUGGCUAUGCACAUUAACUGUAACAUGAUGACAUAAUUAUAGAAACGGAGAACACCCUUCAUUUCCUCAGCCACCUGCCCUCAUCAGCGACAGCCCCAGAACAUGCUGGAAGAACUUGGACGCACCAACACUUCAUUACAAGCCGAGGCUAGCGGUGAACAAAAUAAAUAUGCAUCGGAGGCUGAAUGCCUAUAAUUAGCGUUCCCAUGCGGCUAAAGAAAACGAGAGACGUUUUAAUUCUAGAACUCUGCGUGAACGUUAAGUCGCUGCUAGGGAACGGUUCUCGAGACUUAACCUGUGAGGGCCCGAGGGACAGGCAGAGUUAAGAUCCUUGGGGUAGGUAGGGUUCAAAUGAAGCUGCCACGCCGCUAGAUAGCCCGGGCCGUUGCUUGCCUCCCAGAGCCAAAUGAACUCUCCCAACUCUAUGACAGGCUGGCAUCGUCCCCUGGCACCCACGGACUGGGUGAAUCUAGUCACCUAAUAAACAGCUAACGCAGGCAUGUCUGUUGUUUCCAGAGAGGCUAGGAAGGGCGUUUCACUUGCUGCCUUUGAAAUUCACAUGCAGAAGCAGGAUGCUUUUAUCUGUCAGCCCCUUAAGCUCAGUGCUGGGAAUAACUUCCAAACACUGCCCUGCUCUGCACUUGGCAUGGCCAGUCAGCCUGGGGAUUUUGUGCCUCCGUCACCAUUGAUUACUGGAUGGGAGAACUUGGCAUUGCUGAAGGAGAACGGGCCACAUGGUCCCGAACUCCUCAGCCCAUCCAAGGGGUGAUGGGGCUCUCUAUAUCCCUAUGGCUAACCUAACAGAGGCAUUUGAGGUGAGCAGAUAGGCAAGCUGGGGAAUCCCCAGCAUGGAGCCCAGGAGGGUCAUGGAGGAGACACGCCCCGUCUCCUGACUUCUGUGUCCCCAGUCAGCAAGUGUUUGGUGGUAAGAGUAGCAUUGUGCUCAGCCCCCACAAGGAGCUAUAUUCAGCUUGUUCAGUUCCAGAAUCCCAUGAGUGGGGGAGUAAGGCCAGUGUCCUUAUGCCUUGGUGGCCACCAGAAUCUUAAAGCAGGGGCUACUGUAGCCUCAAGCCAGGAAGCAUGGCCACAAUCAGCAUCUGGGAAUGCAGUGCUGACCUCACAGGCAUGAGGUGGUCUGUCCCAUUUCAGCUAAGAGGACUGUUCACACCAAGAGCUGGUUUUUUUUUAUUACACUUUUUUUAUUAGUUUAUUUCUUACAUUCCAAUCCCAGUUCCCCCUCCCUCCUCUCCUCCAGCUCCCCCCACUACCCCCUCCUCCCCUCUGUUCCACAGACAGGAUGAGGCCUCCCCUAGGAAGCCUAAGUUUUACCAUCAUCCAGGCAGGACCAAGGCUUCUCUCCACCCCCACACCCCUGUGUUUAGGAUGGGCAAGGUAUCUCUCCAUAUAGAAUGGUCCACUGAGUCAGUUUGUGCAUUAGUGUUAGAUCUUGGGCACACUGCCAGUAGCCUCAUAUAUUG